AUACGGAGGAUCCAAGCGUUAUCCGGAUUUAUUGGGUUUAAAGGGUGCGCAGGCGGAAGAUUAAGUCUGCGGUGAAAUUUUGCAGCUCAACUGUAAAAGUGCCAUCGAUACUGGUUUUCUUGAGUGUGGAUGAAGUAGGCGGAAUUUGUGGUGUAGCGGUGAAAUGCAUAGAUAUCACGAGGAACUCCGAUUGCGCAGGCAGCUUACUAGGCCAUAACUGACGCUCAGGCACGAAGGCGUGGGGAUCAAACAGGAUUAGAUACCCUGGUAGUCCACGCAGUAAACGAUGAUUACUCGCUGUUUGCGAUACACAGUAAGCGGCUUAGCGAAAGCGUUAAGUAAUCCACCUGGGGAGUACGUUCGCAAGAAUGAAACUUAAAGGAAUUGGCGGGG
rnacentral:rRNA from 1 species